CAAAGAUGGUCCAUGGCGAGGGGGAAGAUAAAGAUCCGGACUGCUGGGCCAGAAACCCUGCCAUCAAUGGUCUGCGACUUCUGGGUGUGAACUGCACAUGAUAAUGUGCAUCACAGACUGUGGGAUUUAUUUAAAACAAACAGAACCGUUGAGCCAAUGAUAUAAGCAGACUGAAGGUGUAAAGUGUAAGAAAAGCCAAAAGAAGAAUGUGCAAUGCAUUUUGUUUUUCUUCGCUGCCAUGGUUUCAAUUUUGCUGUAAUGUCCCUGCCACUAAUCUAUCAAAAAUUAUUCUGAUAUCUAUCCCCCUAAAGUGAUAUUUUCUUUAUUCUUAAGUAAGGGUGGGAGUUUACCGCAAGAUAUCCACCCCAAUUGACGAUGAAAAUAUUCUUUCUUGACGUAGCUCAACAAUACUGUGUCAUCUACAACGCCUUCUUCAGACAUUUGGGAACGGUUCUAAAAACAAAGACUGCACCAGAAUGAUCAAGAGACCAAAGUUGUUGUUUUUCAGAGAAGACCUCACAAACAACUGGACACAACAUGUAGAGUUUACAAAGGAGAAAGUGCCAGAAAAUAGCAUUAUGUGUUUUAUGUUUCUAUAGAAUGAGG